rnacentral:tRNA from 1 species
GGCUCGUUGGUCUAGGGGUAUGAUUCCUGCUUCGGGUGCAGGACGUCCCGGGUUCAAAUCCCGGACGAGCCC